GUAGUACUCCCUCCAUCCGAAAAUAGUUGUCAUCAAAAUGAAUGAAAGGGGAUGUAUCUAGAUGUAUAUUAGUUCUAGAUACAUCUUUUUUAUCCAUUUUGAUGACAAGUAUUUUUGGACGGAGGGAGUACUUG
rnacentral:pre_miRNA from 1 species